UGGGGAAUAUUGCACAAUGGGCGGAAGCCUGAUGCAGCGACGCCGCGUGGGGGAUGAAGGCCUUCGGGUUGUAAACUCCUUUCGACAGGGACGAAGCUUUUGUGACGGUACCUGUCUAAGAAGCACCGGCUAACUACGUGCCAGCAGCCGCGGUAAUACGUAGGGUGCGAGCGUUGUCCGGAAUUACUGGGCGUAAAGAGCUCGUAGGUGGUUUGUCGCGUCGUCUGUGAAAUUCCGGGGCUUAACUCCGGGCGUGCAGGCGAUACGGGCUGACUUGAGUGCUGUAGGGGAGACUGGAAUUCCUGGUGUAGCGGUGAAAUGCGCAGAUAUCAGGAGGAACACCGAUGGCGAAGGCAGGUCUCUGGGCAGUAACUGACGCUGAGGAGCGAAAGCAUGGGUAGCGAACAGG
rnacentral:rRNA from 1 species